AAGUCGUAACAAGGUUUCCGUAGGUGAACCUGCGGAAGGAUCAUUAUUGAAUACGAUUGGUACUGAUGCUGGCCCUUUACUGGGCAUGUGCUCGUCCAUCUAUUUAUCUUCUCUUGUGCACAUCUUGUAGUCUUGGAUGAACCCUUGCGCAUUCGUGCGGUCUGGGAGUUGCGAAUUAAAACCUUGCUUCUCCUGCUUGUCCAAGGCUAUGUUUUCAUAUACACUAUAAAGUUACAGAAUGUCAAUUAACGACUUGUGCUUGUCACGGUCAUUAAACCUAUACAACUUUCAGCAACGGAUCUCUUGGCUCUCCUAUCGAUGAAGAACGCAGCGAAAUGCGAUAAGUAAUGUGAAUUGCAGAAUUCAGUGAAUCAUCGAAUCUUUGAACGCACCUUGCGCCCUUUGGUAUUCCGAAGGGCAUGCCUGUUUGAGUGUCAUUAAAUUAUCAACCUUGCUCGCUUUUACCGGCUUGAGUUAGGCUUGGAUGUGAGGGUCUUUGCUGGCUUCCUUCAGUGGAUGGUCUGCUCCCUUUAAAUGCAUUAGUGGGAUCUCUUGUGGACCGUCACUUGGUGUGAUAAUUAUCUAUGCCAUCUUGACUUUGAAGCAAACUAAUGGGAACCUGCUCAUAACCGUCCUUUCAGGACAACUCUUGACAUUUUGACCUCAAAUCAGGUAGGACUACCCGCUGAACUUAAGCAUAUCAAUAAGCGGAGGAAAAGAAACUAACAAGGAUUCCCCUAGUAACUGCGAGUGAAGCGGGAAAAGCUCAAAUUUAAAAUCUGGCGGUCCCUGUGGCCGUCCGAGUUGUAAUUUAGAGAAGUGUUAUCCGUGCUGGACCGUGUACAAGUCUCCUGGAAUGGAGCGUCAUAGAGGGUGAGAAUCCCGUCUUUGACACGGACUGCCAGUGCAUUGUGAUGCGCUCUCAAAGAGUCGAGUUGUUUGGGAAUGCAGCUCAAAAUGGGUGGUAAAUUCCAUCUAAAGCUAAAUAUUGAGGAGAGACCGAUAGCGAACAAGUACCGUGAGGGAAAGAUGAAAAGAACUUUGGAAAGAGAGUUAAACAGUACGUGAAAUUGCUGAAAGGGAAACGCUUGAAGUCAGUCGCGCUGUUCAGGACUCAGCCUUGCUUUGCUUGGUGUACUUCCUGUUCGGUGGGUCAGCAUCAAUUUUGGUCGGUGGAUAAAGGCUUAGAGAAUGUGGCAUCUUCGGGUGUGUUAUAGCUCUGGGUCGCAUGCAUCGGCUGGGAUUGAGGAACUCAGCACGCCGCAAGGCCGGGGACUUG
rnacentral:rRNA from 1 species